GAUGAAGAACGCAGCGAAAUGCGAUACGUAAUGUGAAUUGCAGAAUUCAGUGAAUCAUCGAAUCUUUGAACGCACAUUGCGCCCCUUGGUAUUCCAUGGGGCAUGCCUGUUCGAGCGUCAUUUGUACCUUCAAGCUUUGCUUGGUGUUGGGUGUUUGUCUCGCCUUUGCGUGUAGACUCGCCUUAAAAUAAUUGGCAGCCGGCGUAUUGAUUUCGGAGCGCAGUACAUCUCGCGCUUUGCACUCAUAACGACAGCGUCCAAAAGUACAUUUUACACUCUUGACCUCGGAUCAGGUAGGGAUACCCGCUGAACUUAAGCAUAUCAAUAAGCGGAGGA
rnacentral:misc_RNA from 1 species